ACCUACGGGACGCAGCAGUGAGGAAUAUUGGUCAAUGGGCGGGAGCCUGAACCAGCCAAGCCGCGUGAGGGAAGAAGGUACAGCGUAUCGUAAACCUCUUUUGUCAGGGAACAAAGGCGGGGACUAGUCCCCGGAUGAGGGUACCUGAAGAAAAAGCAUCGGCUAACUCCGUGCCAGCAGCCGCGGUAAUACGGAGGAUGCGAGCGUUAUCCGGAUUUAUUGGGUUUAAAGGGUGCGUAGGUUGUUUUUUAAGUCAGCGGUGAAAGUUUGUGGCUCAACCAUAAAAUUGCCGUUGAAACUGGAAG
rnacentral:rRNA from 1 species